rnacentral:rRNA from 1 species
UGAAAUCCCGAGGCUCAACCCUCGGAACUGCCCUCAAUAUCUGCCGAUCUUGAUGUCCGGGAGAGGUGACGUGGAAUUCCUAGUGUAGAGGUGAAAAUUCGUAGAUAUUAGGAAGAAGCACCAGUGGCGAAGGCGGCUCACUGGCCCGGUACUGACGCUGAGGUGCGAAAGCGUGGGGAGCAAACAGGAUUAGAUACCCCUGGUAGUCCACGCCGUAAACGAUGGAAGCUAGCCGUCGGGCGGCAUGCCGUUCGGUGGCGCAGUUAACGCAUUAAGCUUCCCGCCUGGGGAGUACAGUCGCAAGAUUAAAACUCAAAUGAAUUGACGG